rnacentral:rRNA from 1 species
AUGCGGACGGUGGCUAGCCUCACCGACGACCUCCUCGUCGAGAUCCUCUCCCGUCUCCCCGUCAAGUCGCUCCGCCGCUGCAUGUGCGUCUCCAGGACCUGGCGGGGCAUCAUCUCGCACCCGCAUAACCGCAGGCAACUGCCCCAGACCCUCGAGGGUUUCUUCUACGUGCCCGAGAGCAAGCCGGUGCCAACUCCCAUUUUCACCAACGUCACCGGGACAGGCCGCCCUCUGGUCUCUCCUCUCUUUGGUUUACUGCCCCAGCACCAGAGCAUCUUCCUGCUGUCCUGCUGCAACGGUCUCCUCCUCUGCCGCUGCUGGGAAGGCCAGGACGACUUCCAUUACGUUGUGUGCAAUCCGGCGACCGGGGAGUGGGUCCGGUUGCCCGACUCUGUCAAUGCCGGCACCGAGUGCAUGGCACGUCUGGGUUUUGACCCUGCGGUGUCGGAUCACUUCCAUGUGUUUGAGUUCUCCGAGGAUCACGACAUCAGCCAGGCCGGAAUGGAGGUGUAUUCCUCUGAAACAGGGGAAUGGGUUCACAAGGAGAACGGAUGGAUCGAUACGGAAGAUGAUGAAGCAUUUGUUUCCCUUGUUGGUCAUCACUCGGGAGAUGUGUUUCUUAACGGCUGUCUGCAUUUUCUCACCAUGGAUGAUGAUAUAGCCGUGGUGGACACCAAGGGGAAAACAUGGAGGAAGAUACCUCUCCCUGAACUUGGCACUGUUGGUCUCAUUCAGAAGUCUCAGGGUUAUUUGCAUUUUGUCAAUUUUCUUGAAACUGAUGAUGGUAUGGUUCAACUGGUGGUUUAUGUUCUUGAGAACUACCGCAGUCAAGAAUGGAUAUUGAAGCAUAGCACUGACGCUUCAUGUAUAUUUGGAGAGAGAGAUAUUGAUCUUAUACAAGGCUUUCAGUGGGUUGCAAUGCAUCCAGACUGUAACAUGAUCUUCUUAACUGUGGGGUGGGAUAAUACUUUGGUCUCUUAUGAUAUGGAUCAUCACCAAGUUCAAGAGAUCUGCGAUCUUGGAGGAGACGACGACCCGCGAUAUCUGCCAUAUGUGCCAUUGUACUCAGAGUUACAAACUCUACACAUGCAACAUAAAAAUUGA